CGCGGGGUGGAGCAGUUCGGUAGCUCGUCGGGCUCAUAACCCGAAGGUCGCAGGUUCAAAUCCUGCCCCCGCUACCA
rnacentral:tRNA from 10 species